rnacentral:lncRNA from 1 species
AGACAGCCAGCCUGACCCCGUCACAAUGUCCUGGCAGCACAACCACAUUUCCACCUGGGAUCCAACAAGCCUGUGGUUAUGAGGCUGGGUGUAAACCCCUCGUUGCAAAGAGCUCAGUGGGGCCAUGCUGCACGUUCACCACGUUCUUGGUUGAAGAUGAGUAUGCAAAUGAAAACGCGCCCCCCGAGCGCCUCGCCUGGUCUGCUGCCCCCAUCACCCGCAACGGUUCCCUCC